rnacentral:tRNA from 1 species
GCCGCGGUGCUGGAAUCGGUAGACAGGCUGGCUUGAGGGGCCAGUGUCCGCAAGGACGUGGAGGUUCGAGUCCUCUCCGCGGCACCA